AUGGUCUCCGCAAUCUUCGGCCCCAGAAGCUCCAAUCUCAAUCAGAACAUGCUGACCAAGCUGAAGGCUGUUUACACCUUGGUGGAGCAACUCUACACCGGGCCACAGCGUGCUUUAGCCGUUGUGGCUCUGUCCAAUGAGGUACCCACUCACCUGGCAGACGUACUCAGGCGGCCUGCCGUACUUCCUCAACGCUUCCAAGAGCUGAGACGGGCUUCUGCAAGAGCUGGAGCUAUAGCUGCUCUGAGCCGGGCCAAGGCGUUUCUACCGGAGCUAGACCCGGCCGACAUCGCUCUUGGAUACACCAGCCUGAAGGAAGACGGUACCCCCUUUGACCAGAAAGACUUCGCCGCCUGUGUGAAGAGCGUGCGCCCGGUGGCCACCUUGAUUGGGAAUGACACAUAUCUUACCAAGUAUCAGUCGGGCUAUGACGCGGAGAAUCAGAGGAUCCCAACUCCACGCUAUGAAGCAGUCAGCCUGAUCCCUCCGACUCGUAAGCAUACCUUCGCCCCAGAAGUUGACCCGGCCGGGUUAAUUGAUGAUGAGGCUCAAUUCGAAGCUUUGAGUGGCAUUGACUGGAAAUCAACAACCUUCCAGGUCAUGGAAACAGCCAGAGGAGCGGAGAGGGAUGAGCCGGGAGCUUCAACCCAACAAGCACCUUGA
rnacentral:rRNA from 1 species